UACAGAGGGUGCGAGCGUUGUCCGGAAUCACUGGGCGUAAAGGGCGCGUAGGUGGCGCCGCAAGUCCAUGGUGAAAGCUCGAUGCUCAACAUCGAGUCGGCCACGGAGACUGCGGGGCUCCGAGCGACUGUAGGGGCAGAUGGGAAUUCCGGGUGUAGCGGUGGAAUGCGUAGAGAUCCGGAAGAACACCGGUGGCGAAGGCGGUCUGCUGGGCAGUUGCUGACACUGAGGCGCGACAGCGUGGGGAGCAAACAGGG
rnacentral:rRNA from 1 species